rnacentral:lncRNA from 1 species
AAAUCUAUCACAGAUUAAGAACAGUUAGAGCCAAUCUUUAGUGUGUAGCAGUGGUGAUGGCGAGGUUAAAAUGUCACUUAUGACUUCAUUUUCCACAUGACAACAACUUCUCAUAGUGUAUACACAAAACUAAACAGCUUAUACAAAUUACAUAGCCACACAACCCAAACAUGACAGCCAACAUGACUAAUAACUCUGAAUAACUGGGUGAGUUCAAAGGUCAAAAUCAGAGUUUAUUAUACAACCUUUGAUCUAUUGUGUGUCAGGACAGGUGUGUGUAUCACCCAGACUAUGAUCUCAGCUGAGAAACACACACGAAGAACACUUCACAGAGACAACAUGUUCAGAAUUUCUGUGUUGAUCUGCAUCUCUCUACUGGUUUAUGGCAACUCAGCCAAGCCAUACAAGUCCUGGGAUAAAGUGGCUGAGUAUGCAGUCCAGGAGACUCUGAUGUCUGAAAAGGAGAGGGUGAUGUUUGAUCUGGGGCUGAAGCAGGUGGAGGCUCCUGAAGACAUGGACAUCACUAACAAUGACAUCCACCCUGUCAUGGCCAUCUGGAAGAACAUGAGAGGGGGAGGUGGGAAGAGACAGAAGGUAGAAAAAGAGGUAGUCCAAGGCAGAUACUCCACAACCGAGGAGGACAUGGACCAUCUAUACCACCCAUCCAUGGAGCAGACCCACGAGGCUGACCUGGCCAGAGCCCGAUCUCAGCCAGAGGACACCUUCGUUCGGAUGGCCAUCCAGACAGAGCCCCUUGAGGAGGAUAACACCAAGUACUACCAGGAGGCUGGGAUAGAUCUAGAUAACAUCUCUCAUCUCUUCUCAGGCCAGGUGGAUCCACGGCACCCUGAAGAGGACUGGGACGAACUCUACCAUCCAGAGAUGAAAAGGGGAGACGGGCAGUACCAAGUGGACGUGCCUCACCAGGGGGAGCUAGCUGCUGUAGGGGCAGAGGUGAAGGGUCAUAGUGAGCCAGAGGAAGACAGGGAUGACCUCUACCAUGGUGACCUGCCUGUACCUGUACCUGGCCAGGACAGGCAGCAGUCUGCCGAUCGGCCCUCUCAGAGGAUGUACAGAGAACCAGAAGAGGACCUGGAUGACCUCUAUCAUCAUUAAUUAAACACCUAAGACCCAUGAUAUCUGCCCCCUAACUGACUGUCAACUCUACAGUCAGAUACAGCUCUACUGCAUCCAAUCAAAUACAGUUAAAAGCUGUACAUACAGCAAUGGGUUAAAUGCACAUCGGAGUGACUCUAUAGAAGUCUAUAAACUAACACUGUAUGGAUCUAACCGUUUAUUAUGUUUAAUAACCAGUACUGUAUAAGUUGAUCUUCUAAAACAUUAAAGACACUUGUAACCUCUACUGUAAUGUGUCUGUCUUACAUCUACUUAAUCAUUCACAUGGAAUACGAAUAGAAAAAUCACUAUUGUUUAUUUACAAUUGAUACAUUGCAUAUUCGAUUUCAGACGGAUCGUGACAUCAACAUAAUAUAUAUUUUUAAAGAAAAUCUAGAUGUUUCUCAGAAACAUGCAAACUCAAAUUCUUAGGUAAUUUGUUAGGCAAUGCGAAAUUUGGUUGUGCCCCGUCGAUAACAUUCAUUGUGUGUGUCAAUCUAGUAGUUCACCCGGGAUGACUCCCUUCUUCAGUAUCAGGCACCCAUAGAGCGCUGUCUCCCUGUUUAUAUAGAGAGAGAGACACAGUAAACACACACACAAAACUAGAGAGAUACCUAGUCAGUUAGUUGCACAUCUGAAUGAAUUCAACCGAAAUGUGUCUUCCACCAUUUAACCCAACCCCUCCGAAUCAGAGCGGUGCAGGGGGCUUCCUUAAUCGUCGUCAUCGGCAGCCUGGGAGCAGUUGUUGUUGGGGGUUAACUGCCUUGCUCAAGGGCAGAACGGCCAAUUUCUCCACCUUGCCAGCUCGGGAUUCGAACCAGCGACCUUUCGGUCACUGGCCCAACGCUGUUAACCGCUAGGUUACCUGCCGCCCCACUUAUCUACACUGAUGCAUGACGUGCCCACACGCACACACAAAGAGAGAAAAACCUGUAUCUCACCCAGUUGCUACAACAGCAAAGGCUUUCUUGGCUCGUUCAUAGAAUGCAAAUCUCUCCACCUUCUCUAGAGGAGCCUGGACACAGAACACACAAUAACUUUACUCAACAUAUAAGUAUGUGUGUGUGUGCGCAUGCGUUCACCCCUAUCCACUCACCUGUACCCCAGCAUGUGCCAGCUUCUGUCUGAAGAUGUCCCAUACAGGAGUGGCUAGUCCCCUUUUUUUGUCACUGUCCACCAACUCCAUCACGGCAGCCUACACACGUACAUGCACACAAAACAAUUGGUCACUGUCCAGCUAGCUCUCCAGAUGUGACAUAUUGACAUUUCCAGUUGCUGGGGACCUACCGGGCUGAGGACGUAGGUAUCCAGGGGCAAUAACUUCAAAAUGGCCUCCAAAAGCUCAGCAGCCCCUAGACCUGCGGGAAAAUCACAGAGACUGACCAUAUAAUACAAUACAACACACUCUUUAAUUAGGGCCAGUAUCGGGACACUCGUUAGUAUCGUGGCAACACUGGCAAGGAAACAAAACACGAAGGAAAACAGCCCUAAUGUUGGAAACAAACAAUUAUUUGUGGUCAUCCAGACAAAGUGGGUGGGGUUAUAUCCUACCUGUUUGGCCCUGUCCGGGGGUUUCAUCGGAUGGGGCCACAGUGUCUCCUGACCCCUCCUGUCUCAGCCUCCAGUAUUUAUGCUGCAGUAGUUUAUGUGUCGGGGGGCUAGGGUCAGUCUGUCACAUCUGGAGUAUUUCUCUUGUCUUUUCCGGUGUCCUGUGUGAAUUUAAAUAUGCUCUCUCUAAUUCUCUCUUUCUUUCUCUCUCUCGGAGGACCUGAGCCCUAGGACCAUGCCUCAGGACUACCUGGCUUGAUGACUCCUUGCUGUCCCCAGUUCACCUGGCCGUGCUGCUGCUCCAGUUCCAACUGUUCUGCCUGCAGCUAUGGAACCCUGACCUGUUCACCGGACGUGCUACCUGUCCCAGACCUGUUGUCCCAGACCUGCUGGAACCCUGACCUAUUCACCGGACGUGCUACCUGUCCCAGACCUGCUGUUUUCAACUCUCUAGAGACAGCAGGAGCGGUAGAGAUACUCUCAAAGAUCGGCUAUGAAAAAGCCAACUGACACUUACUCUUGUGUUGCUGACUUGUUGCACCCUCGACAACUACUAUGAUUAUUAUUAUUAUUUGACAAUGCUGGUCAUUUAUGAACAUUUGAACAUCUAGGCCAUGUGCUGUUAUAAUCUCCACCCGCACAGCCAGAAGAGGACUGGCCACCCCUCAUAGCCUGGUUCGUCUCUAGGUUUCUUCCUAGGUUUUGGCCUUUCUAGGGAGUUUUUCCUAGCCACCGUGCUUCUACACCUGCAUUGCUUGCUGUUUGGGGUUUUAGGCUGGGUUUCUGUACAGCACUUUGAGAUAUCAGCUGAUGUAAGAAGGGCUAUAUAAAUACAUUUGAUUUGAUUUAUUUUCCAUGCUACAGCAAACAAUAUUUUACAUACAUUGUGUUUUCAUUUUUGCCAGGGAAAAAUAUAAGUAUACUACAUACCGGUACUACACCACAUAAGUAUCCGGAGUGUUUUUUCUGUUCCCCUGGUUAAGUAAAGGUUAACUAUACACCUACCAUCAGCUCGGUUAAGUAAAGGUUAACUAUACACCUACCAUCAGCUCGGAUCUCAAUGGGACCGCAGGUGCAGGUGGAGGAGGUAGGGAAGUUUGUAUCAGCCAGAACUGUAACAAGACAAUGAAUUCAAAUAUAUCAAUGUAAUCUUUUUAUUGUCCUUGUUUGAGACUUCAAUCUGUAACCAGGAGUUUGAGUUGAGAGAUGAGUUGACACAUUUUUUUUUUUUUAAACAGAAGUUGCCAGAUUGAUUGGAUGGGGGAUAAACUAAAACUGUAAUGUCUUCUAUUGACUAUUGCAUUUCACCUCGCUUAGGUGGUAUAAACCUACAGCCUAGGUUUGAGGAGUUUAGAAACAAAAGCCAAUAGUGGAGGUGCAUAAAGAUGGCGGCCCUCAUGCACUUACCACAAAUUCCUAGUUUUUAAUAAGUUAGCCAUAUUGUACAUUGCUCUCGUUACCCUUUUUUGUAUGGACAUUAGCAGAUAUCACGUGCUGUAGUUUAAAAACUCAGUGUGGAUAGUGCUAAAACAAUGAUGUCAUAUUUGAAUUUUGCCAUCUUUAUGCACAUUCACCAUUACAUCAGUUGUUAGAAUGCAUUAGAUUGAAGAUAACAGUCAGUCAGAUUAGGCUACAGGUAAAACAUAUAUAAUUAACACUGACUAUUGGGAAACACAAGCACUUCUUACCUCUAAAUCGCCAAGCUAUUCAUGUUGAAUAAAUGUGUGUGUUAUUUUGAACUAUGGUAGCAGCUAAAUUGUUCAGUUCACAGCUUGCCUACAUUAUGCCUAGGCUAUUGCAGACUAUCCAAAAUAAGAUGUAGGCCUAUCAGGAGCUAAAGGCUACCUGCAUAUAUCUAAGAAAACCAUGGCAAAGUUGAAUUACAAUAAUAAACCCAGAUUUUAGUCUGUAGCCUAUGCCUAUUGAAAUGACAGGUCAAUCUCGCAAAUGGGCCAUUUAUAAAUGUUUGCAGUCUUAACAUCUGGCACAUAAUAAUGGCAGAAUUGCCAGAAAAUAGCCUAACAUUCGGAUUUGGACAUCCUCUGUCCAACUUUCAUCACUCAAACUCCUGUCGGAUUUAUCUAUAGUGCGCAAAAGAGAUGCAUUUACAAUUAUAAAACCGGUUUCGAGCCCUGAAUGCUGCUUGGCUAAAAGCUGUGGUAUAUCAGACCGUAUACCAUGGGUAUAACAAAACAAAAGUUACUGUUCUAAUUACGUUGGUAACCAGUUUAAGCAAUAAGGCACCCUGGGGUUUGUGGUAUCUGGCCAUUACACCCGGGCUAACGGCUGUAUAGAGGCACUCUGCAUUGCGUCACGCUUAAGAACAGCCCUUAUGGAUGUCGAUUUAACUCGUUUGACUGCAAUGAUUAAGCAAUAAGGCACAAGGGGUAAGGCAUGUGGCCAACGACUUAAAUCGUCAUCCAUUGACGGAAAAUGAUCUGGCGAGUUUAACCCGGCCAAUUAUCUUUUCUCUUGCGACAUAUUCAAAUGUCUUUAUUAUGACAUGUCAUAGUUCACAAUAAUUCAUAUUUUGAUGAAAACAGAAUUUUGCGUCUAACGUCGUUACAAGUUUGGUCGAGAUUACUUCUUAAUUGUCUCGAUAACGUUUUGGGGAAAAGGGUUUAUUGUAUACACGUGUCCGCUCCUCUCUUGCUGUCGAAAAAACUAGUUGGGUUCGUUUUCAGACCUUUUGCGCGGGUUGAGCAGUCAUUGUCUUAGAACUUGUAGCGGUACCUGGCAACCCUGAUCGGCACACUGCUUUGUUUGAAUUACAGUGCUUUGCGAUUUCGACGCAUGCCUCGGAGCUCCGGUAUCAAACAUUAACAUCACUGCUGACAACAAGAUCCAUCAAACAGAUGACGUUCACAGACCUUCACUGAACCAGCAAGUUAAUGUUCGCUCUUACGAGCGUAGCUAGCUGAUUUAUUUACCCAGUUCGUCUCCGUGGCCCAUCUUGGCCAGAGCAUACAGCAGCUCUGGCGACAGAAUGGACGGUAUUCCUUUUAGAAUAACCAUAGUAGCAGGUUCGAUAACACAGGCACUUCACAGAAGGAAAAAGACGACCAGGAA